UCAAGCCGGCCGCAAACUAGCUCUCAAUGCCUUUCCCCCGAGAAUCAACCUUCGCGGAUGCCAAAUCUGAUAAAAACCAAUAGGAAUACGUCAAAAUAGGCUAAUGAAAUAUAACCCAAUCGAAAUAACUCGAAAUACACCCAAAAACACGAAGUUGGCAAAACCCGAGCUCCGGGCCCACUUCUCGUAAAAUUACAAAAUUCCCAUUCCCAGAAUCCUCGUCUUGCCACGAAUCCAUUCAUAUAAAAUUUACAAGAAUCAGAAUCCAUUUGACCCCUCAAAUCCACACUUAAAGUUCACUUGGGCAUCAAGCCCUAACCACCAUUUUUAACAUUGAAAAGCUUGAUUCCCUAGUUUUAAAUCCAUGAUUUACUCUAUAUUAAUGUACUUUAGGUCCAAAAGAUCAUAACUGAAGAAUCCCCUCGAACAUAUCUCCAAAAAUCGCCCUCAAUGGCCUAAGUCCGAAGUUCAAUUGUUCUUCCUCUUUUUAAAAUUAUAAGAAACACUGCCGCACUAAAACAACCCGACUUCCGCUUCCGCUGCUCCCCGACCACUUACGCGGCUCCCGCUUCAGCGUCCAGUUGACCGCUUCUGCGGUCUGGUUCAAAUCCUCAGCGACUGGUUCUGCGGCCUUUCACCGCUUUCGUGGCUUCUGCUUAUGCGGUCACCUCACCGCUUCAGCGGUCCCAGCCUACUCCCCAUUGGCCGCUUCUGCGGCUCCCUUGCCGCUUCAGCGGACACCGCUUAGGCGAUCCUUCAUCCGCUUCUGCGGAAAUACCAGAAGGCAGGCACUCAAAACUGAAGCAAACUCCAAAAUCUUUGUUUAACCAUCCGGAAUCAGCCCGAGGCCAUCGGGGUCCAAACCACAAACACAAUUAUGACCAAAUACCUCAUUCAGACUUGCUCGAGCUCUGAAAACACCAACAUUAACACCAAAAAUCCUCAUUUUCUUCAAAUCAAAGCCUAGGAUAACUUAUAGUUUCCCAAAUUCUCAUUCGAUGCCGAAACCAACCAAUUCAGACUUGCUCGAGCUCUGAAAACACCAACAUUAACACCAAAAAUCCUCAUUUUCUUCAAAUCAAAGCCUAGGAUAACUUAUUGUUUCCCUAAUUCUCAUUCGAUACUGAAACCAACCAAACAAAGUCCGAAUGACCUGAAAAUUUUCACACAUAUCCAAAUUCACUUUCGAAAUUUCAUUCCGACCCUCGGAUCAAAUUCUGACCUAUCAACCGAAUUUCUCUAAAAUUCCAACUUCGCCAAACUAGGCUAACUUCAAUAUCGGACCUCCGAAUUCAUUUCCGUUCUCACUCGUAAGUCAAAAAUCAUCUCCUGAAGCUAACCGAAACAUUGAAAAUCACAUCCGAGCCUUCUAUCUCACAAGUCAACUUCCGGUUGACUUUUCUAAAAUAAGCUUUCUUCUAAGAGGCCAAAUGUCUUAUUUCCAACCAAAACCAAUUCAAUUACACUCGAUCGACUCCAAAACUGACAUUGAAACAUGAAGCAACACACUAAGGGAGAAACGGAGCAGUAACACAUAGUACGACGGAUCGGGUCGUCACAGUUUGUUUGUUGCUGGUAUCUGCUGCUGAACUCCAAUUUAAGAAGAUAUUUUAUUAUUUAUUUUGUUGCUGAAGGUACACACUCUAAACUCCCAUAUGUAGUUGGUUUCACCUUUGCACUAAUUGAUGCUUUGUGUGUUAACUGUGAUGUAGUAAUCAUGUAAAACAUUGAGUGAUUUUGAAAUGAUCAUUUCUUUUUGACAUUACUACCUCUCAUCUGCUCUGUCUUUAUUUGAGAAAUUUCUUUUGAUAUUCUGGGUUGUUUAAGAACAAGGCAUAAGUAUAAAUGUGUGCUAAGACUAUAAAGUGUUGUAAGUAGUAUGUCCAUGGUAGUACAAGUUCUGAAUCAGUUUAUAUACCCAUGAAACUAUAUCCAAAUUCCUUUCUUACAGCAGCACCGAAGGACAGUAAAUCUGACCCUUUAAAUGGUCAGAUUUAUCCCUUAAUAGUUGCAUAAAAGGCUUAAUUUAUUUGAUAUGUGUUCAAGUUAUUUCCCCCUUUUCCCUUUUUUCCUACUUUACUGAAGUGAGAGCAUGUGUUCAGUCUCUUUUGGUGAUUCUCUUUGAAAUAUAUUCUGAUGAUUACAGUCAUUUGCUUAAGCCUAUUGUAUUGGCCUCAAGUUCUACAUGAAUCACUGGAUAGUUUCCCUUUUCCUGAUUCCGAGACCAUUUUGCACAUUCUGUUAGUUUGAAAUUGCCAAAGCUAUCUUUGAUACUGUGUACUCUUAUGGUUUGUCAUAUUUGAGAAGAAAAGAGAGUUUCUGGGGUUUGAAGUUCAGCAGUGAUGUUUCUUUUAGUUAAUACAACAAUUGCUAGACAUUGAUUCUUAUGUUUUCUUAGUUUGUAAUGGACUAUAUGUAGUAUUUGUUGAUUUGCGUUGUUUGAAUCCUAGGUUCUAUGGUUAACAAAAAAAACCAUCGAUUCAGGAAUAUUAUUUUAAAAUUCUAUUUGUAAAAGUAUUCUGUUAAAUCACAAAGCUCUUAUAAUCAAGAUUGAGGAUGUGUUGAGAAGUUGAAGUCGUCCACACCUUGUUUUCUUUUGUUGAUUGUUUGAAAUAGUUAAGGGUGAAAAUGUUUCGACUUGCAUAUUGUCAGUGAUUGUGGGCUGAUUUGGUAGAGUGGUUGUGGUUAUCAUCUCUGUCCCAAGCAUGAGAGGAAUGCUGAAGCUUCCUUUGGAAAGUAUUCUCGCUUCUAGUUCUACUCAUGUUUUCUAAAUUAUGCUGAAAAUAUGUCAAAGAACUCCAUUGGUAGUUCUUUUCUAGUGUGCAAAUGAAGCUUUGAUUUGUUUGAUCUCAAAACCAUGUUCAACUUCCUGAACUUAUGCGCUUGAGUUGUUAAAUCACUUUAUGGGUUCCAUGCUAGCACUAAUUCAUCAUUGUUUAGUGUUGAAGAGUUUGAGGUUACAAAUUGCACAUUAUUUGGUUUAGUUUUUAUGGACAGUAGAAUUAGCCUAAUGAAGCAGUUAACAAUUUGAAAAUCACUAUAUCACUGUUGGCCUAUGCUUAGGGAGCUUCAAUUCCGGGUAUGUUUGUUCGCUUAUCAUUUUCUUGUUAUGGAACCCAAAGUUCAGAUCUAUAGUAAAUGGCGUAAUUUUGUUGGCUUUAUUUAGUAUGAAUUUUAAUUGUAAAGCUCUCUGUUUUGUUGGCUUCAAUGAUUAGUUGGCUUGAGAUGCGUACCUCCAUUUUCUUUGAAAUUAAUCAUGUGUAGUAAGUGUUGUUUCAUGUUCUUAAUCUGAGAUAAUCGAGUUCGCAUGUGAAAAGGAAGGAAGAAAUAAAUUAAGCAAAAGAUAUGGUAUUGUGGAGCAAGGAUUUCUCAUUUGAAUAGUUGCUGAAAUAUCGUGUUUGGCGUAUUGUUCAAUUUCAGCAAGAAAAUGCUUUUGGAUGAAUAUGUCUGUAAUAUAAAUAUUUACCUUUAGAUUUUAAUUAGUGAUAGCUAAUAUGAAUGAGAUUUUAUUAUGUUUGGACUCGCCACUCUUUUACCCUGCAUGUCUAUCUUCGUUAUUUUAAAUACACUGCCCGAUGACUAAUUGGGCUUACUUGGUCAAUAUUGUGGGACUGGUUUUUGGCAUGGGAGUUGGGGAAAAGGUCAAAGGCCUUUUUUUUUUUAAUAAAAAUUUUAUUUCAAUCAUUAGCAAUUUACAUCAAUUGUUUACUUAAACUCUAGAAUAGAUUUCAAAAUUACAAUCAAAUAGUAAACUUCACAACUAUGUUGUUAAACUGUUUUUCUAUUACAGACAAAGAAAGUGUUAUGAAGAAUCACAUAAGGGAUAGUGAUUCACAGUCUGCAUAAUGGUAUUCCAUUUAGAGUGUUUCAUUCUAGCAAUGUGCACUUGAAUUGUAAUCUCCUUUGCUCGAUCUUGGCUGGUUCUGUUCAGUUGUUGAAAUCUUCUGUUGUUUCUUUCCGUCCAGAUGCCGUAGACUAUUGCUGCAAACACCACCCCGAGGAUGGCUUUUCUGGGAUUCCUGUUAUUGACAUUGCCCGACAACCAUUGCACUUCUGAUUCCCAUGUACCAAUUGUUCUUUGAUACUUCAUCCAAUGUAAUAUACCUUUCCACAAGUUUUUGGAAUAUACGCAUUCAAAAUAUAAAUGAUCAUGUGUUUCUUCAACAUCUCUUCCACAAAGGACGCAGGAUGU
rnacentral:lncRNA from 1 species